rnacentral:rRNA from 1 species
GAUGAACGCUGGCGGCGUGCGUAAUACAUGCAAGUCGAACGCACAGCGAAAGGUGCUUGCACCUUUCAAGUGAGUGGCGAACGGGUGAGUAACACGUGGACAACCUGCCUCAAGGCUGGGGAUAACAUUUGGAAACAGAUGCUAAUACCGAAUAAAACUCAGUGUCGCAUGACACAAAGUUAAAAGGCGCUUUGGCGUCACCUAGAGAUGGAUCCGCGGUGCAUUAGUUAGUUGGUGGGGUAAAGGCCUACCAAGACAAUGAUGCAUAGCCGAGUUGAGAGACUGAUCGGCCACAUUGGGACUGAGACACGGCCCAAACUCCUACGGGAGGCUGCAGUAGGGAAUCUUCCACAAUGGGCGAAAGCCUGAUGGAGCAACGCCGCGUGUGUGAUGAAGGCUUUCGGGUCGUAAAGCACUGUUGUAUGGGAAGAACAGCUAGAAUAGGGAAUGAUUUUAGUUUGACGGUACCAUACCAGAAAGGGACGGCUAAAUACGUGCCAGCAGCCGCGGUAAUACGUAUGUCCCGAGCGUUAUCCGGAUUUAUUGGGCGUAAAGCGAGCGCAGACGGUUGAUUAAGUCUGAUGUGAAAGCCCGGAGCUCAACUCCGGAAUGGCAUUGGAAACUGGUUAACUUGAGUGCAGUAGAGGUAAGUGGAACUCCAUGUGUAGCGGUGGAAUGCGUAGAUAUAUGGAAGAACACCAGUGGCGAAGGCGGCUUACUGGACUGUAACUGACGUUGAGGCUCGAAAGUGUGGGUAGCAAACAGGAUUAGAUACCCUGGUAGUCCACACCGUAAACGAUGAACACUAGGUGUUAGGAGGUUUCCGCCUCUUAGUGCCGAAGCUAACGCAUUAAGUG